rnacentral:rRNA from 1 species
UGGGGAAUAUUGCACAAUGGGCGCAAGCCUGAUGCAGCCAUGCCGCGUGUAUGAAGAAGGCCUUCGGGUUGUAAAGUACUUUCAGUCGGGAGGAAGGUGGUAAGGUUAAUAACCUUGGCAAUUGACGUUACCGACAGAAGAAGCACCGACUAACUCCGUGCCAGCAGCCGCGGUAAUACGGAGGGUGCAAGCGUUAAUCGGAAUUACUGGGCGUAAAGCGCACGCAGGCGGUUGAUUGAGUCAGAUGUGAAAUCCCCGGGCUUAACCCGGGAAUUGCAUCUGAUACUGGUCAGCUAGAGUCUUGUAGAGGGGGGUAGAAUUCCAUGUGUAGCGGUGAAAUGCGUAGAGAUGUGGAGGAAUACCGGUGGCGAAAGCGGCCCCCUGGACAAAGAAUGACGCUCAGGUGCGAAAGCGUGGGGAGCAAACAGG